GAGGACCGUAUUCAUGGAAGAGGAUUGAACAGAAGCAGAUGAAUAUAUGGGAGAUGAAGUAGACAGUAUGUUGGAUAAAUCUGGAGUAAAGAACCCCAGCAAUUGGUAAGGAUGAGAAUAUAUCGCCUCAAGUAAAAGGAGAUGAAGACAUGGGGGAUGAAAUUGACAGUAUGUUGGCUACAUCUGGAGGUCUUUUCUCCUGAGAACACGGGACUCCAGCAUCUUCGGAUUCUGCUCUUGGAGGGGUUUGCCCCACAUCCUCUAUAUUGCAGAAAACAAGACUAGGCUCUACCUCUGUAGAUCAAGCACGACUGAAAUCCGUGCUCUCAAAAGAUGCUGGGGAGAAAGAGUGCCAUUCUUCACAAAUGCUGGAUCCUGCAGAUGUUCACCAUCUCAUGAGUAGGGCCUCAGAAGUCCCCCACCAUGCCAAAGGAUUCACAGACCUACCAAAUCUUUGAAAACCCCAUCAGAAAAGGCCCCUUCUGCCCAAGAUGUGUGCAGCUGAACAGAGCGUUGAGGAAACGUCAGUGAUUUUAUGACUACUUAUCAUGUUGGGAGAUUGUUGUGAUGAUUGCCUGGACUCUCAGAUGUUACACAGGCUGCAUCAUUGGACUGAAAGUGAAUGGCCCAUGUGUUGCCACUGAUGUGAGCCAUUUGCCUGUUGUGCUUCA
rnacentral:precursor_RNA from 1 species